rnacentral:piRNA from 1 species
UCUGAAUGGAUGGUUGUGUUCCUCAGGGC